GUUCCCCAAAAGUUUCAGGUCACUGGAUUUUCUGUUGGAGGGCGAGUGGUUGAUGGGAAUGCCAUGGGAGUCGAGGGUGUUAAAAUCAUUGUUGAUGGUCGGGAAAGGUCUACAACUGACAAAGAAGGCUACUACAAACUCGACCAAGUCACAUCAAAUCAUUAUACAAUUGAGGCAAGAAAGGAGCAUUACAAGUUCAACAGCUUG
rnacentral:misc_RNA from 1 species